AUUGAACGCUGGCGGCAGGCCUAACACAUGCAAGUCGAGCGGAUGAGAGGAGCUUGCUCUUCGAUUCAGCGGCGGACGGGUGAGUAAUGCCUAGGAAUCUGCCUAGUAGUGGGGGACAACGUUUCGAAAGGAACGCUAAUACCGCAUACGUCCUACGGGAGAAAGUGGGGGAUCUUCGGACCUUACGCUAUUAGAUGAGCCUAGGUCGGAUUAGCUAGUUGGUAGGGUGACGGCCUACCAAGGCGACGAUCCGUAACUGGUCUGAGAGGAUGAUCAGUCACACUGGAACUGAGACACGGUCCAGACUCCUACGGGAGGCAGCAGUGGGGAAUAUUGGACAAUGGGCGAAAGCCUGAUCCAGCCAUGCCGCGUGUGUGAAGAAGGCCCUCGGGUCGUAAAGCACUUUAAGUUGGGAGGAAGGGCUUACAGCGAAUACCUGUGAGUUUUGACGUUACCGACAGAAUAAGCACCGGUUAACUUCGUGCCAGCCGCCGCUGUAA
rnacentral:rRNA from 1 species